UACGUAGGUGGCGAGCGUUAUCCGGAUUUACUGGGUUUAAAGGGUGCGCAGGCGGGAGAUUAAGUCGGCGGUGAAAUUUUGCAGCUCAACUGUAAAAGUGCCUUCGAAACUGGUUUCCUUGAGUGUGGAUGAAGUAGGCGGAAUUUGUGGUGUAGCGGUGAAAUGCAUAGAUAUCACGAGGAACUCCGAUUGCGCAGGCAGCUUACUAAACCACAACUGACGCUCAGGCACGAAGGCGUGGGGAUCAAACAGGAUUAGAUACCCUGGUA
rnacentral:rRNA from 1 species